AAACCCCGUUUUACGUUACGUUUUGUAAAUAACGAGUUUAUAAAAAGUUACGUUUGGAUAGGAAAACAGAAAAACUGGUCGGUCAUGUACCUUGUUUGGAUACCCUCCAGUGGGCUGUUUCCUUUUCUCCUCCCGUGACUCACUCUCACUUUCCCCAAAUCAGCCAUGGCGUCUUCCAAGUCUGUCGUCCUGCUGGUCCCCUCCGAUUCCUCCUCCGCUCGCUGACACCGGUACUCCCCUGCUCUCGGCCGUGGAUGAAUCCGCGCGAGGACACCGGCUAGUGCGCGCCUCCGGCCACGCCGGUUGCUGCUGGACUCCCCGACGCCGCUGCCCGCCUCCCCUCCCCUGAACGGCUAGGUCGCUAAGGCCUACUGUGCUUCGUCGGCCGUCAGCCAGCUCUAUCCGUCGAGCAGUGCUGCUUCAGCUCAACGCACAUGCCUGCCUCCCUAGAAUGCCGGCGGUGCAGGCUGCACUGUAACCAGCCCGUUUUACCACUAGAUCUGUGGGGCGCCGGCAGCAGCAGGCAGCUGUAGCCCCCGCUCCCUAACCAGCAUGACCAUGAGUAACAGCGGAUGCAGAGAACAAGCUCGAGGACGGCGAUUCAGAGGAGCAGCAAUGCUAAGUGAUGCAUCUGCAAGGCGGUCAAUUGCUGAUAUGGCAUCGUCGGCUGUCCGUUUUUGCCCUCUUCCAGUUUCUUUUGAUCCACUUCCAGUGGACUUCUUUUUUUCUUGCUCAAUGGUAGUUGACUUCUUCAUGAAGACACCAGGGGAAGUAUUGUUUUCAUCAGAAUCAAUCUCAUGAACUUCAACAUCCAUAUUGAGAUCAAUCUGUAAAGAUUUGCUUGUACAUGCAGCAUCUUUUCCUUUGCUAGAUACAACACCAGCUCCAGAUGCUGUUGAAGUAGCACAUAUGGCUUGAAGAUCUACCCAACUAGGGAGAUACAAGAAGAAAUAAUGCAAGAUGAGUCAUUUUGUUCAUUACGAUAAAUCUACGAAGUGGAAGAAAAUGAGCAUGCCACUAAUAUUUCGAUCUUUUGAGGGGUAAUCCUGUGGUCGUUGUACACAAAUGGGAGUCUAGGAGUGAACUAAUCUUUUGUUCAAAGUCCAAGAUCUCAAGCAUGAAGUUCAUUUACUAUGAAGCUGGGCUAGGUUUCCCCACUUAUUGCCGUCAACUUCACAUUGGACAUCACAAGGACGGGUGAAGCCACGAAUCCUGAUUGAAGACCGGAAGAUGAUGAUGAUAACAAGAGCUCGAUGGAGGUGUGCAGUCCUAUUGAAGAUGGCCAAGUUCAGAUCCAAAGGCGAUGUAUUCCAUCCAGUGCCUGUGGCCGGGGAUCGCAGCCAGCCUGUGCGAUCUGUGUGUGGAACGCACCAUGCGGCCAACAAAUCCUGUUAUAUAGGCAAUGGAAAAAGGCGGGAGGUGAGUCGCAGAAAGAAAAAUUGGUGCCAAUGUGGUUGUUCAGGAAAGGGCGGAGGCGGAGAUGGACAGUUGCGAUCUGUAUUUGUUAAUCGCGUUUGUGGAAAAAUGACUAAUACUCGUUUUCCCACAAACCUGGAAUUUUGGGCUUUUGUGAAACGAGUUUCCUAUAUGCAUGGGUUCGUUGGAGGAGCCAAACAAGAUUUUGUACGGUUAGGCCGUUUUUCUGGCUUAUGGAGAUCCCGAUCUGUAUGUUCCCCUUAUCCAAACAACGCCAUAGUGCACACAUAAUAUGUUUCAUAAGUUAAUUUGUGCUAUGUGUGUAUAAGUGUUGUGGCUAGCCCACGUCAUGACAUGCCUAGUCUAUAAAUUAUGUUGCACUAUAUCGGUGGUUCU